UACGGGGGGGGCAAGCGUUGUUCGGAAUUACUGGGCGUAAAGGGCUCGUAGGUGGCCAACUAAGUCAGACGUGAAAUCCCCCGGCUUAACCGGGGAACUGCGUCUGAUACUGGAUGGCUUGAGUUCGGGAGAGGGAUGCGGAAUUCCAGGUGUAGCGGUGAAAUGCGUAGAUAUCUGGAGGAACACCGGUGGCGAAGGCGGCAUCCUGGACCGACACUGACGCUGAGGAGCGAAAGCCAGGGGGGCAAACGGG
rnacentral:rRNA from 1 species